rnacentral:rRNA from 1 species
UACGAAGGGGGGCUAGCGUUGCUCGGAAUCACUGGGCGUAAAGGGUGCGUAGGCGGGUCUUUAAGUCAGGGGUGAAAUCCUGGAGCUCAACUCCAGAACUGCCUUCGAUACUGGCGAGCUCGAGUCCGGGAGAGGUGAGUGGAACUGCGAGUGUAGAGGUGAAAUUCGUAGAUAUUCGCAAGAACACCAGUGGCGAAGGCGGCUCACUGGCCCGGUACUGACGCUGAGGUGCGAAAGCGUGGGGAGCAAACAGG